CAUUAACCCCAUGCAUAAGGGCUCCACCUUCAUUACUUAAUCACCUCCUAUAGGCCCCGCCCCUUAGUGCUAUUAUACUGGGGAUUAAAUUUCAACAUAUGCAUUUUGGGAGUCUGUGAACAUUCAGACUAGAGCACUAUUUUAUUUAACAUUUGGACAGGUCUCUUUAAGAGGAAACUGUGGUUCCUCAUGCUUAUGGGGUCAGAAUCCACUUGCAGAGGGCAUGGAAAUGCGAUCACCAGAAUCCAGCUCAAAUCUAAUGAAUCAGCCUUUCAGACUGGGCCCCAGGAUUCUGUAUUUUAACAAGCCUCACGGGGGAUUCUGAUGCAAGCUGAAGUUUGGCUGGCCGCUGGCUUGUAUGUUGUGUACGGGUAUUGCAUUUUCUUAAUGAGAUUACUAACAGGAAGGAGGCUUGAUUUCCUUUGUUAAAAUCAAAAUUGGAGUAAAAGGUUAUGGGACACAAUCAUCUGCUAAAUCAAUGUUUGAUGUUAAAAAAAA
rnacentral:lncRNA from 1 species